rnacentral:lncRNA from 1 species
UUGGCAGCAUCUCCUUUGCAAAAUUGCAUAAAUGAGGGGGGGGACAACAGUGUAUAAACACAUAUCAUGACAAAAACAUACCAAGUAUUAUUAAUCGGCUAGCAAAGGGAAGUUAAACAUACGACAUGAACUGAAUUAACCAGUGCGCACGACUAGCAAAAAAAUAAACUUCUUUUGACAACAAGUUUCUAAUUAAAUCAUGGCUACGCCUGGGCAGCGCUAUUAUGAGAGUGAAAGUGGACGUGCUGCUACUCCCCUCAUUCCCAACAUGUAUCAAGUACCUGCAUUGAGUAAUGCAAGAGUGAGAUGACACAUCUCAGCAAGCAAAAUAAUAUCAAAUUGUUUAACCACAUAAGAAUAUUGUUUUACCACCACUUGAUUUCACAACCUUCUUAUUACAAAGGUGCAGCACGUAUACAACGUACAACACUCCUAGCUACCACACCUCGCAGGUAGAAACCACAAUAGUAACAUAGUAAUGUCACUCUUCAUAUAUAUACCUCAUGAGUGCAAAUGUCUGCAAAUGCAAGGAUGACUUCUGCCUUCAUACCUCUAAGGAUAUGAAGCCGCAUCGUACCCCUCCUCGGGCAACGUACGAUGCUAAAAAUGUACCGGUACAGUCGGACCAUAAGAUCACGACAUAACUUCAGAAUGCAAGAUGGAUGAUGCAAUGUGCAUGACAUGCCUACAACACUUCAUAUAACGUGAUUCAAAAAAAAUACUUCAACUCAAUCCAUGAUGGGAAUCAACCACAUAUAUCAUUACCAAAUCAUGAUCAUCCACAAUAUUAGACAAUUGAGAAUUAAUACUUUCGAACAAAUAAACUUCAUCAUAGAAUUCAAUGAUUAACAUAUUUAAAACUUAUGCAUACUCAAUGACAGGGAAUAGGAUGCAAACCAAACGGUAGCAACCACCACUGUAUUUACUUGCCUUUACCGGAAGUUUGGGCAAAUCCCUAAGUACGAUCCGGAAGUCCACCACCUGUUUUUGACACACAACUUAGUGCACCAAUUUCACAUAACCAGGCUCAUAAACGACGCCGCACCUACGCACAAACUCAAGCCCCGCCGCGGGUUACAUCUCUCCCCACACCCACCAAACUGCAGCGGCGCUGCUUAAUAAUUUCAUAACUUCAAAAUUAUGACAGCAUUGGUAACAAACAAAAACUCCAGAGGCAUCUACAUAAAAUUCCCCACAAGUUUUGUAUACAAUUUAUAAUUAAAUUCCAACAUCUAAUUAGCCCAAAACAGUUCACAAGAUGAACCCUGUAAUCUGUUUUUUUCUCUUUUGGACAGCGACAUACCCGGAUUCAAACAGCGAUAUCUUUUAAAAUAUAAUUCCAAUUCAAGCGCAUAAGUACUCAUUGGAAAGAUAAGACAAAGCCAUACAUGAUUAUCAUACUGGUUAGCACUAAUUAACCACGAAAAAUUCCCAGAAAUUGCUAAUACUACUGCUGUUCACCCACCUGAAAAAUCUGUUUUUUUUGGACAGCAACAUACCCGGAUUCAAACAGCGAUAUCUUUUAAAAUAUAAUUCCAAAUCAAGCACAUAAGUACUCAUUGGAAAGAUAAGACAAAGCCCUACAUGAUUAUAACACUGGUUAAUACUAAUUACCCACGAAAAAUUCCCAGAAACUGCUAAUACUACUGCUGUUCACCCACCUGAAAAAUCUGUUUUUUUGGACAGCAACAUACCCGGAUUCAAACAGCGAUAUCUUUUAAAAUAUAAUUCCAAAUCAAGCACAUAAGUACUCAUUGGAAAGAUAAGACAAAGCCCUACAUGAUUAUAAUACUGGUUAAUACUAAUUACCCACGAAAAAUUCCCAGAAACUGCUAAUACUACUGCUGUUCACCCACCUGAAAAAUCUGUUUUUUUGGACAGCAACAUACCCGGAUUCAAACAACGAUAUCUCCUAAAUUAUAACUCCGAAUCGAGCGCAUAAGUACUCGUUAGAAAGGUAUGACAAAGCUCUACAUGAUUAUCCCACUGAUUCCCACUAAUUACCCCACGAAAAUUCCCAGAAAUCCCUAGAACUACUGCUGUUCACCCACUCACAAAAUUCCUGGACAGCACCUCUACCGAUUCGCAAAGAUAAACACAUAAUCCAAUUGAUUGCAGCACAAAAACAACAAAAGUUAAUCACAAAUUCACCUUAGGUUCUUCCCUUCCUCCUUCCUUCUUCCUCCCUCCAAACUCCAAUUGAGAUUGCAGCCACACGACGGAGAACCACACGGGAGGGUUGCACCUUGGAGGAGGGGGAGAAAUGGGGGGGCGGCUAGGGUUUUGGGUGGUGAGGGCUGCAAAGGUUUGAGGAGGAAGAAGAUGGGAGAGGGGGGGGGCGUCCAAGAGAAAGGGGAGGGGAAGGGGCGGCUGCAACAACCCAAGGGGGAAAAGGGGGGGGGGCGGCUAGGGUUAGGGGAGGGUUAGUGGGCCGGAUUGCGAUUCGCGGCCCAACUCGCUUGCACGACAGCUCCCGACCAACCACUCUACUGCUAUACUGGUGAAUGUUUUCCACAAAUUCUAAAUCCCCAAAGCGCGACACCCGAAUAAGAGAAAAAACAAACAAAAAGAAUAACCUUCAACUUCUCUUCUUUGCAAACCGGGUAUCACACUCUACCCCCCUUAAAAAGAAUUCGACCUCGAAUUCCGACGCUUCUAUCGGAACGACAAGGAAAGAUCAGCGACAACAAAACUCACCCCAUAACGAAAAGUUCGGGUACUUCUGCCGCAUCAGCUCCUCGAGCUUCAAGGAUUCUAGGAUACGCAGCAGACGACACUCUAGAGUCAGGUCUUGCUACAUGGGAAUCGACUCUAGCUCGAUUAUUGAUAUGGAUUCCGCAAAUACUUUCUCAACAUAGAGACAUGGAAUACAUGGCGUACUCUGAUCAUAGACUCCGACAAUUGCAUGUGCUAAGCCAAGCUGCCAACUCGGCUAAGAUAAUAGACAGUCCUAAAUAACCCGGACAAAGUUUUCCUGGCACCAAAUCAACAUUGACACAUGCAAGUACUUCAAUGAAUAUAUAUAAUGAAAGCAAUACAUACUGUGCUCCAAUAGCCUAAACCAAACCUAUCCAAACAAGAGUAACUUCAAAAGAUCAAUUUAAUGCUUGCAUAUUUCUAGACAUCAGCACAACGGUUAAUUGUUUUGCUCAUAAACUCACAAAAUAUGCAUCCAACAGUAGUAAACUAGGACUUUAUGGAAAGCUUACAAAGUCCACUAUACCCUUGGUAUUAUCAUCACCACAAGAUUUUUGACACUUAGAAAGGACAAACAAUGCGAAACGUAAAUUUUGUCCAGACUUGGACAGAAUUCAACUACUCACUUAAAAAAUCCAUAAUUGGAGUCUCAGUCAUCCAAUUUAGGCGCUCCUAGACUUUUUUUUGAAAGCCAGCAAAAUUGUCUAUAUUUCAUUUAUAAACAUAUCAGGUUAAUUCAAUGCAUAUCAAGGUCAAAAGACAUAAGAAAGGCUUUGCUGUCCAAAUUUGGACAGAUUCAAAGAUUCCACUUAAAACAGCUGUAGCUUAACUUAUAGGUCACCAAAAAGGGUGAUCCAAUAUUUGUUGGAAAUCUUAAGGAAAGUACUCCACUUCUUUAUAAUUUAUAAGAACUGAUUCAAAGUUUAACUUGGGCAAACAAGGUCAGUUUCAAAAUCUGUACAGAAUCUGGACAGAUUCCAAGACUAGACUUGAGAAAAUCAUAACUCCCAAACUACUAGACCUAUGGUCAUGAAAUUUUACACAAGUAAGAUGAAGAAGUUGGCUACAACUUUUAUAUACAACACCUCUACAGAAAACAUGGUUUAAUUCAUUGAACUAGCUGCAUAACCAAAACUGGUCAUGUAGUCCCAAACAGCAAGCAAUAUAUUUAUUCAGGUUCUAUACUCUUCUAAGAUUAAGCGUUCAUCGAAGGACUAAUAACUUUAGGUUCUUCAUUACGAGACACUCAGAGCCAACGUAAAGAUAGAAGCCAUAUGCUAACUUUUUAAAUCAUUUUAAGCCUUAUCUCACAUCAUGGAAGCAAGAAUCGAUUUAAGCAUACUACGCCUGCCCAUAUAUCCAUCCAAGCAUAUUCUAUACAUUAUAUCAUUCCAUCGAAGAACACUUUUUUUUAAUUAUACUAUGCAUAUAUAUCCAUCCAAUAACUCACCCAAUCUGCAUCUAACAAAAUUUUGCAAAUACAAACUCAUUGGAAAGGUUAUAACAUUCCCUAAAACUUUUAUUAUAAUGAGUGUCUCAAAAUUGGUUUCCAAACCGAUAAAACAAUGCAACUGCUUUGUUGCAAAACUAAUAGGAUAGAAAUAUUGGACAACUAAAAUUCAAAAUCCUAUAACUCCUGCUAUACUCAACUUAAAACUACAACAAACAUGCGUUGGAAAAGUUUGGAAAUUGUCCACGACUUUUGCAAUAAAGUUGCACCCAAAUUUAUCUUUAUAACCCUCAACACUGCAUGACCUACAGCUAAACUCAACCUGAGAUACUGCACAUCAGAGAUUCGACUUAUAUCCGGACAACCACCUCUCCCAAUCUAUUUAAUAGUCAAUUACAAGUAAAUACCCAUUAAAAGGUACUUAGAAAAACUAAAAGUUUUUCUUAAAGAGAAUUCCCAAAUUUGGGCUCUGAAACUAUCAGAACACGGUCGAUUUAUUGGUGGUUUUAACGACACCUAAAGUUCAGACACAACGGUGUAACAACUUCAGAGUAGCCUAACUCCAAUUAUAUGCAAUGAAAAUUACAAACCAAUAAUCUUUGGAAAGAUCAUGAAAUUACUAAAACUUUCAUAAUCCAACAAAAACCAAAAUUUACCGUCUUCAAUGUCUAUACUUCCGUACAAAAUUAAGGCUGCUAUAGGAAACCCAUAACUCUCCAAUGUUUAGACCAAACUGGGUGAUUGAGCAUCCUAUGCAAAGAUGAAGAAGCCUACUACAAAACAUUCUAGAUAAGUGAAGCCUGAUUCAGCCUCCAACUAAUUUAAAAUGACUCCCAAAACCAAACAACACAUUACCCAUAAUAAAAAAACAAUAUAAAAUAAAACCCAAGGCAUUGGUAGGUGCGAUCAAUACUAGGAUUUUCCACUGCCAAAUGGGGAUGCAACUCCCCAAAGCCUUUAAGCAACACUUUAACUAAUAGGUUAGAACACUAAGCACAACAAUCAACGAAUUAAACAACCUCGUUUGUUAAUGCCACUAAGGUCAAACAUCCAUGUAUCGACAAUGUAUGAAACACCUGACAUACCCGUCUCUAGCACUAUAAGACAUGGUUGUUAUUACACUAGAAUCCAACUAUUAGAGCUCUCCACAACUAUUCUGUUGACGUGAAGCAAAUGGUGCUCAUGUCAUGUAACGUCUUUUCCUCCUCUCAAAAGAGAUAAAAUUUGCAAUACUCAUAAAGCAAUGGAGGGAUAACAACAAGAAAAACUAAUGUACUUCUUGACACAGACUCAUGCAAAAGCUUCAUAAAUAUUACUUUCAAUACUAAAAUAGCAACACGAUACUAUGCUCAUCAGGAGUAAUUGGAUGUCAAUAAGACAAUCCACAUAACCAAACUACCUUGAUUAACCUCACAUACAACAAAACCUACUAUUACUGCACUUGAACAAUUUGUACCUCGUGAUAUCACAGGAUGCAUUCAAAGUAGUAGACAUACAUGAUCUAUCAAACCAUCAUUCAUAUAAGAAAAAUCUCAAUCCGAUGCAACAACCCCAUCAUUAAAGAGAUAGAUGACUAACAAACAUAAGCAACUCCCAGUUAAGCAUUGACUUCGUUUAAGAUAAAGCGGUCCAAAUAAUGAUUCAACAAGCAUGCAUAGAGAAACUGAUCAUAAAAAAAAAUCAAACUACCAUACAAUGUUGGCAAAUAAAAAAAAUAAAAUGGGUUGUCAAUAUCGUCCACAUGACUAGCCUGCAACAACUAAAAAUUAUGCAUAGCCUUUAUGGCUAUUGAAACAAACCAUAGAAGGAAAACAUGCACGACAUAAAAUCCACUUGAAACCACCCUAUUUAUUGUUAAAAAAAUAAGGUUGCACAUAAUAAGAAAACCUAUCAGGUAAACAUGGAUGGACUUAUCAAUCUACGUCAUCUUACAAAUUCACUUGAGUUCUACCAGUCUCAAGAUUUCAUAGACAUUACAAUGUUGCCUUUGCUCUAUAGAGACAAACCAAUUUUAUACUAAGAUCAAGUUAGCAAGUAGCCACACUAGCCAAAAAAGUGAGGCACAAAGCAUUGCACCCAUGGAAAUAUUACAUUGAUAAGUUGGGUUGUAACCCAACAGUCAAUCAAACUCAACAACACCAUAAAACUACAUUAUAUAGUGUUUUCACACUACACCAAGUCGGAUUAGACCCACUAUAGACAAGCUCAAUAAACAAUCGGUCCUACAAGUACUAGAACCCAAGAAUCCUUUUGGAAAAAAAACAUCCACAGUCAAGCAUAUAGAAAUAUAUGAUAGUAAUACCUCAGAGAUUUGAAAACAUUGCAUCAAAAAAAACAUCAUGACAAUAUGUAUAUAAAACAAGUACAGUAGUAGCUUCACUUGCAUAAUAUCUUCAAUAACAACCACAUCAAGAAACCAAUAUUAAAUAGAAAUAACAUAUCAUAUCAAGCAUUACGUCAUUAAUGACGUACCCCAUCAAACCAUAAAGGAAUUUGGAGUAAGGAAGUUCUAGUCAUCUAUACAAUAAAAUACUAAUAUGAAAGAUAUACGAACCCAUACCCUUCCUAUAUGUGCAAGUGUGUCAAAUUUAUCUUCAAAUUGCGUAGAAUCUAAAGCCUAUGCUUUGAUACCAACUGUAACACCCCGGGGUCCACAAACACCCUGGAAUGCUACUGAACUACACUUCUGACAUCUAUAUAAAAUUUUGGCAGCAUCUCCUUUGCAAAAUUGCAUAAAUGAGGGGGGACAACAGUGUAUAAACACAUAUCAUGACAAAAACAUACCAAGUAUUAUUAAUCGGCUAGCAAAGGGAAGUUAAACAUACGACAUGAACUGAAUUAACCAGUGCGCACGACUAGCAAAAAAAUAAACUUCUUUUGACAACAAGUUUCUAAUUAAAUCAUGGCUACGCCUGGGCAGCGCUAUUAUGAGAGUGAAAGUGGACGUGCUGCUACUCCCCUCAUUCCCAACAUGUAUCAAGUACCUGCAUUGAGUAAUGCAAGAGUGAGAUGACACAUCUCAGCAAGCAAAAUAAUAUCAAAUUGUUUAACCACAUAAGAAUAUUGUUUUACCACCACUUGAUUUCACAACCUUCUUAUUACAAAGGUGCAGCACGUAUACAACGUACAACACUCCUAGCUACCACACCUCGCAGGUAGAAACCACAAUAGUAACAUAGUAAUGUCACUCUUCAUAUAUAUACCUCAUGAGUGCAAAUGUCUACAAAUGCAAGGAUGACUUCUGCCUUCAUACCUCUAAGGAUAUGAAGCCGCAUCGUACCCCUCCUCGGGCAACGUACGAUGCUAAAAAUGUACCGGUACAGUCGGACCAUAAGAUCACGACAUAACUUCAGAAUGCAAGAUGGAUGAUGCAAUGUGCAUGACAUGCCUACAACACUUCAUAUAACGUGAUUCAAAAAAAAUACUUCAACUCAAUCCAUGAUGGGAAUCAACCACAUAUAUCAUUACCAAAUCAUGAUCAUCCACAAUAUUAGACAAUUGAGAAUUAAUACUUUCGAACAAAUAAACUUCAUCAUAGAAUUCAAUGAUUAACAUAUUUAAAACUUAUGCAUACUCAAUGACAGGGAAUAGGAUGCAAACCAAACGGUAGCAACCACCACUGUAUUUACUUGCCUUUACCGGAAGUUUGGGCAAAUCCCUAAGUACGAUCCGGAAGUCCACCACCUGUUUUUGACACACAACUUAGUGCACCAAUUUCACAUAACCAGGCUCAUAAACGACGCCGCACCUACGCACAAACUCAAGCCCCGCCGCGGGUUACAUCUCUCCCCACACCCACCAAACUGCAGCGGCGCUGCUUAAUAAUUUCAUAACUUCAAAAUUAUGACAGCAUUGGUAACAAACAAAAACUCCAGAGGCAUCUACAUAAAAUUCCCCACAAGUUUUGUAUACAAUUUAUAAUUAAAUUCCAACAUCUAAUUAGCCCAAAACAGUUCACAAGAUGAACCCUGUAAUCUGUUUUUUUCUCUUUUGGACAGCGACAUACCCGGAUUCAAACAGCGAUAUCUUUUAAAAUAUAAUUCCAAUUCAAGCGCAUAAGUACUCAUUGGAAAGAUAAGACAAAGCCAUACAUGAUUAUCAUACUGGUUAGCACUAAUUAACCACGAAAAAUUCCCAGAAAUUGCUAAUACUACUGCUGUUCACCCACCUGAAAAAUCUGUUUUUUUUGGACAGCAACAUACCCGGAUUCAAACAGCGAUAUCUUUUAAAAUAUAAUUCCAAAUCAAGCACAUAAGUACUCAUUGGAAAGAUAAGACAAAGCCCUACAUGAUUAUAAUACUGGUUAAUACUAAUUACCCACGAAAAAUUCCCAGAAACUGCUAAUACUACUGCUGUUCACCCACCUGAAAAAUCUGUUUUUUUGGACAGCAACAUACCCGGAUUCAAACAGCGAUAUCUUUUAAAAUAUAAUUCCAAAUCAAGCACAUAAGUACUCAUUGGAAAGAUAAGACAAAGCCCUACAUGAUUAUAAUACUGGUUAAUACUAAUUACCCACGAAAAAUUCCCAGAAACUGCUAAUACUACUGCUGUUCACCCACCUGAAAAAUCUGUUUUUUUGGACAGCAACAUACCCGGAUUCAAACAACGAUAUCUCCUAAAUUAUAACUCCGAAUCGAGCGCAUAAGUACUCGUUAGAAAGGUAUGACAAAGCUCUACAUGAUUAUCCCACUGAUUCCCACUAAUUACCCCACGAAAAUUCCCAGAAAUCCCUAGAACUACUGCUGUUCACCCACUCACAAAAUUCCUGGACAGCACCUCUACCGAUUCGCAAAGAUAAACACAUAAUCCAAUUGAUUGCAGCACAAAAACAACAAAAGUUAAUCACAAAUUCACCUUAGGUUCUUCCCUUCCUCCUUCCUUCUUCCUCCCUCCAAACUCCAAUUGAGAUUGCAGCCACACGACGGAGAACCACACGGGAGGGCUGCACCUUGGAGGAGGGAGAGAAAUGGGGGGGCGGCUAGGGUUUUGGGUGGUGAGGGCUGCAAAGGUUUGAGGAGGAAGAAGAUGGGAGAGG